rnacentral:rRNA from 1 species
GAUGAACGCUGGCGGCGUGCCUAAUACAUGCAAGUCGAGCGAACAGACGAGGAGCUUGCUCCUCUGACGUUAGCGGCGGACGGGUGAGUAACACGUGGAUAACCUACCUAUAAGACUGGGAUAACUUCGGGAAACCGGAGCUAAUACCGGAUAAUAUAUUGAACCGCAUGGUUCAAUAGUGAAAGACGGUUUUGCUGUCACUUAUAGAUGGAUCCGCGCCGCAUUAGCUAGUUGGUAAGGUAACGGCUUACCAAGGCAACGAAGCGUAGCCGACCUGAGAGGGUGAUCGGCCACACUGGAGCUGAGACGCGGUCCAGACUCCUACGGGAGGCAGCAGUAGGGAAUCUGCCGCAAUGGGCGAAAGCCUGACGGAGCAACGCCGCGUGAGUGAUGAAGGUCUUCGGAUCGUAAAACUCUGUUAUUAGGGAAGAACAAAUGUGUAAGUAACUAUGCACGUCUUGACGGUACCUAAUCAGAAAGCCACGGCUAACUACGUG